GAAGCGCUCGAUCCUUCUCGAAAAGGGCAGAAAAGGAUGGAAGCCAACUUGGCAUGGCCGCUGCCGCUCCACACGCCGCCGGCGCCGGUCGCUCCAAAUGCCUCGCCUACCUCCUCUCCCCCGUAGCAGCCCUGCGGCUCACUACCACCUCCACCGCCACUCUCCUCCUCCCCGUUGUCUCUUCUCCCUCCUACCCCGUCUCUCGGACGCCGAAGUCAGCAAUUAUGCCGUCGGCUCCGCCGUCCCCCGAAUCCGUGAUGUCUAUGGCCUCCUUCUCUGAUAACGCAGCCAUACGCCAGAUGUAGCGGCCCUGUCGGCAAGUACGCCGCCAACACCUCCCCCAAACUCAAGUCUGCCACGCCUCUCCUGCAUCCCGCUCCGAUGCAAAAGCCCGCCGCCUGCCCGUCCUCCUAGCCAUCUCCUCGACACCGACCUUCGCGUACGACGGCUACACACUUCUCAUCCUCGGUAGCGGCGGCGCCACCUGCUACAUCCUUCCCCACCGUCGUGCUCCACGUUUGUCCAUUCGAGUACGAGCUGCUCCCCGAGGACCUCUUCGCCACCAGAUAUUGGAGCGCCACCCACGGCUCCACACCCGCGUCCUCCUCCAAUCGACUCCGUCUCGAAGAUGGCUGGUCUGGUGUGAUGUUGAUGUGGAGCCCAAUAUAAAUCAGUGUGCAGGCAUAUGGGACUCACGCUGCUCAAACUACAGCCACUCACUAACUACACCCUCAAGAAGCCACACGAUCUUUAGAUAGAACGGACAAUGGAGUGCGAGGAGGUGUGAUUCACUGCCAUUCGCCAUCUAAUAUGCUUCGUCAAGGACAAGGUAUGGGUGUGGACGAAGAGUAAAAUCUUCUAUACGUCUCAUCUAUCUUGCUUCAUCUUUGUUAGAGGAUCCUUGUGCUAUAUGUUCUGGUGGUAACAAAUGGACAGUUGGAGUAUCUAUAAUCUUCUUGCGGAAUGAAAAACUUUGAGUAUUGGAAAUGUUGGUGUAUACCUCCCUGAACCGGUAUUUUCACACAUGCUAUGUUGCUCUUCUACAGCUACAUCUAGAAGUGCUAUAAAGAUUCUUACACUCUCGGAUAAGCAAAAGGAAGGUCAAUCCAACUCCAUUGCAAUUUUACAAAGAAAUGGUCCACAAAGAAGUCUCAGUGUGUAGUCCAAGGUCUGAAUCAAGUACAAUUUGGUGGCUGUAAAAAAUCAUUCUAUCUAAUAGGUCAUUCAUCUAAAAUUGUUUCCCAUGUACGGUUCUAAAGUUUGUGCAGAGGACUUUCAGAAAAAAUAACUUUAGAUACUUGCUUUACUGUUCAUGAUAUUUUUGUAAUCGUACAUGUGUUUGAAUAGUUUUUUUGGUAGUUCUCUUUAUUACUCUCUCUGUUCAAAAAAAUUUGGAUGACGCCUAUUGCAGGUGUCUUUGCCAUCCGCGCCCCUCCUUUGGUUGGUAGCUCCACAUCUAAUUUAUCAGGUCACACCCAAAAUUUGUUUUUCCUUGAUGUCUGUUAGCUGCAGUUUUUUUGCAGAAACUUGCUUGAUGUAAUAAAGUUGAAAGAGGCCUGGUGCAGUUUUUUUUUGUGUGUGUAUACAUGCACACUCGCCCCAUCUAUAUACAGAUGAUUUGAAUGCAUCUCUUACUGUACAUUUUGUUUCGUUGCUUGGUACAAAAUGUAUUGCAAGUGAUAUUCAUUGUUUUCGCUUUGUUUAUAUAUACUGCAAGCUCAGUUUUUUUGCCUUUAGAUGAAUGUAACACAGGCAGUUAUGUAAGCAAUAGUGAUUGUUUGAUUUCCUUCUAGGUGAGCAUAUGGAUGGAGUGAAACCCCCGGAAAUAAUAUAGUUGGUACAUGUAUUUUGAGUAAACAAUUAAACGAAGGGUAUACUAUGCUCGUCAAAUGAUCCCAUGGCGUGAUCUAAGCCUUUCCAAGGAAAUAAGCAAUUCUCUGUUGAAGUAGUUCUAAGGCUGGACAUGAUAUAUGUAUUUAUUUUCACCCGCAAAAAAAAUUAAUUAUAUGUAUUAUAGACCGCAGGCUGUGCUGGAAAUUUGGGAGAUAUGAUGUGGGCGCGUUCGUCGCAUCUUUCAAAAUUUAGUGUUAUCGGUUGUGAAGCUCGCACGCCUCACAAUUAACGAAGCCAAUGUUGGAAGGACGCUGACACAUGGCACAUCAUUUUACAUAUUAGUCUAGCUUGGUGAGCCCCAGUCAUUUUGUUUGUACUUGUAUAUAUUCUCUUCUGCGUGCAAAUUGCAAUAUGUUUGUUAGACUAUAUUGUCCAGAGCAACUUAUGGGUUCCUAAACAUAAAUACACCUAAU